rnacentral:lncRNA from 1 species
GUUUUAUUUUAAUGGCAAAAGAAUGAAAAAGUAGAUUAGAUGUGGAUGAUUUCAUGCCAGACUCAAAGGCUCCUUAAAGUCUUCCUGCCUCUUCAACUGUCUCCUGUUAAAACUAUACGGCCACAUUCCUGACCUACCUUAAGGAGCCCUAUUUUCCAAGUCAUUAAUUGUUUUCUCGCAUUCUUAGAGAUUUUUAAGUUCAUCCUAAUCCCUUUCAAAUGUGCAUUUCAGAGGAAACCUGGAGAGGCUCAGAGUGCCCUAGAGAUGCUGAUCAACCUCCAAAUACUUCAUCUGGUGGAGGAGCUUUUUUUAAUCAUCCACUCCUACAUUUAAUUCAUGUGUAUGCGAGUAUCGACACCCAUGUGCAGGGGGCAGGAACUGACCGAACACAAAGCAAAUAAACUCCAGCCCUCACUUUGUAGAAGAAAAGUGGGCUAUACGGGAAUUUCUAUUAAGUACAUCAUAAAAUCAGGCAGAAGACUAGCCGAUUUGAUGAUAGACGAAUCUUGGGCAGUGCGUUAACUGAGCAAAAGCUACCAUUGGCAACACAAACACUUUUGGUAAAGGUAACCUCUCGGAAGGCCAACUCCAGAAAGCUCCAUAGAUGACUUUUCUGUUGUGCAGAGAGAUCGGUGGAAGAUGGUAAAAGAAGGUACAUACGUGUGAAGCAGAAAUCAUCUCUUAGCACGUUUCAUUCUCUGUGACACAGGGAAAGUGCAACCUUUGGAGUGAGACACACAGGUUUAUUAUAGCCAAGCUCCAUUGCCUACCAGUUGUGGGCAACUCAUUCAUUCGCUGAUUUGAAUCACGUCCUUCUGUGUCUCAAUCACUGACAGAGUAGGUGUCGUUCCAGCCUCAGGGAGCUUUCAAUCUAGUGACAUAGAUACUAAACAUGCAAAUAAACAUAUGUAAUUAUAAUUUGAGAUAACA